AGUCGAGCGGAGUGAUGGGAGCUUGCUCCCUGAAAUCAGCGGCGGACGGGUGAGUAACACGUGGGUAACCUGCCUGUAAGACUGGGAUAACUCCGGGAAACCGGGGCUAAUACCGGAUAGUUCUUUUCCUCGCAUGAGGAAAAGUGGAAAGGCGGCUUCGGCUGCCACUUACAGAUGGACCCGCGGCGCAUUAGCUAGUUGGUGAGGUAACGGCUCACCAAGGCAACGAUGCGUAGCCGACCUGAGAGGGUGAUCGGCCACACUGGGACUGAGACACGGCCCAGACUCCUACGGGAGGCAGCAGUAGGGAAUCUUCCGCAAUGGACGAAAGUCUGACGGAGCAACGCCGCGUGAGUGAUGAAGGUUUUCGGAUCGUAAAGCUCUGUUGUUAGGGAAGAACAAGUGCCGUUCGAAUAGGGCGGCACCUUGACGGUACCUAACCAGAAAGCCACGGCUAACUACGUGCCAGCAGCCGCGGUAAUACGGUAGGUGGCAAGCGUUGUCCGGAAAUUAUUGGGCGUAAAGCGCGCGCAGGCGGUCUCUUAAGUCUGAUGUGAAAGCCCACGGCUCAACCGUGGAGGGUCAUUGGAAACUGGGGGACUUGAGUACAGAAGAGGAGAGU
rnacentral:rRNA from 1 species